UGGUUAAAUACUUUGUGCUUGCAACUCUGCUUCACCCUCUCCUCCCCCCUCCCUUUUUUUUUGCAUCACUCUGGUUCUCUGUGCUCUGCUAGGACGUACAUGUGACCUUGAUGCACGUUUCCCUUAAUCUAUAACUCCUAAACCUCUCUCUCUCUCUCUCUCUCUCUCUCUCUCCCUCUCUUUCUCUUUCAGUCAGUCUCUUUCUCUCUCUCUAUCCCUCUCUUUCUCUUUCAGUCAGUCUCUUUCUCU